rnacentral:lncRNA from 1 species
GUAAAUCAGUUCAAGACUGUCUUCUUCCCAAACGGCUUUGGCGAUGAAAUGGCUAGACUUACAUUUCAUGCUUUGAGUGGAAAAAAUAUUUGCAACUACCAGCUGGUCUGCCAAAGUGAUGCCAAUCUGCAGAAUGAAGAAUCCGUGCGACAGUGUCUGCAGAUCCUGUCUUCCUUUAGACUCAUCAUGCAGGUGGCGCUCCCUCAGGAGCACCUUUGCUGGAUUAUCUUCAACGGUGUGAACCAAGAUGCCUUAUUCCCCAUUGUGCCUUUCAGAUCGUUAUUUAAAUGCCAAGUUUGAUGGCAA